rnacentral:rRNA from 1 species
UAAUACGAAGGGGGCUAGCGUUGUUCGGAAUUACUGGGCGUAAAGCGCGCGCAGGCGGUCUUCCAAGUCAGUGGUGAAAGCCCGGAGCUCAACUCCGGAACUGCCAUUGAAACUGUGAGACUUGAGGAUGAGAGAGGUGAGUGGAAUUCCCAGUGUAGAGGUGAAAUUCGUAGAUAUUGGGAAGAACACCGGUGGCGAAGGCGGCUCACUGGCUCAUUUCUGACGCUCAGGCGCGACAGCGUGGGGAUCAAACAG